rnacentral:rRNA from 1 species
CCUGCGGAAGGAUCGAUUGU